CUGUACUGUCCCCUCCACUACAUCUCCCCUUCCCCACUAUGUCUCCCAAUCCUGGUGUCAAUAAAAGGCAGAUCUGUUAUGCCAGCAUAUUCUGAUGGACUGCUUCUAUAAAUGGUUGACCUUGACCCUGGGGGUGAACCCUUCCUUGACCCUGGGGGUGAACCCUUCCUUGACCCUGGGGGUGAACCUUGGCCUCACAGGUGUUUGUGAUAUACCUGAUGGCUUCAUCUCUGUUAGGGAGAAAUGCAGACAGACGCCCCUGUCUGAAAUAACCCACGACAAUGACCUCUGUUCCUCCUUUCCACAUUAUUUGAUAAUGGCUGGCACUCAGUAGUGUGGUUGCUCUAGGUGACAGAGCCAACUAAGCUGUAUUUGUCAGCAUGACAGUUAAUGGUGGAGGGCCUUUCAAAACUCAUUUCCUUUCCAAUCAGUGGAGGGCAGUAAACAAGUGAACUGUUUGGGAGACGUUGUGUUACAGGCCGUCAACCUCUGUGUUACAACGUGACCUCGCAGAGCUACGCCAUUAUCACAUACAGCACAUCUUAUCUCAUGGCAUGUGCCUGGUGUCAUAAAGAAUGGGAGUAAUAGAAACCUUUGGAAAGUGUGUGUGUGUGUGUGUGUGUGUAAUAUGUAAGGACUCACACAUUUCUGUUCUGUGCACGAACAGCAUUUCACGACCAAAGCGGGGGAAUUCUCAGAUUCUUGCCAUGGGAGUGGUCUGGCCGAAAGAGCACUUGUAAAUCCCAGGAUGUAGUGGCCAAUCGUCUCUGAGAAUUCCCCAUCCAAUAUCCCAUGAUCCUCUACUCCUCUGCAGCACAUUCCUAUUCACUCAUGUUACUUCUAUUGUACAACAACAGGCCCACAAAAGCAUUCCUCCCAGGAAAAGAGUUCAGGUUUACUUCUAUGUUUUUCUAAUGACUAAUAUGUUUAUCAGAGAUCAUCUGUGUAGAAAAAGAUGUGAAAACAAACCAGCUGUUCUACAAUGGGUCUUGAGUUUUUAAAUAAAACGUUGGUACUGCCGGCUUUGGCAAAACACUCUGAGGUUUUACAGAUGCCAAUAUGUCCUGUAAAUGUUAUGACAAUGAAGUUACCCUUAACAUGCGUUUGAGAAACAGGCACCCCAAGUACUUAGGUAGCAGACAGCCAACAACAAAGAUAUCCACCUUCGCCCACUUCACAGAAGCUUUAAAUAGCACCCGGUCCUUGUUCAGACCUGGCGCACUAGACCUCACUACACACCUCCAUAAAUGCCUAGAGAUAACGGUGUUACCAGCCCGGCACCAGGGCUUUACAAGGCACAAAGAAUGUCCAGGAGAAGCCCUACGCCGUGCCCUGGAGGAGGCAGACCAUAUCAGGAUCCCACAGCCCAUCACUGGUCUGUCCAGACAGAUGAAGCCAGUACCAUCAUCAUCAUCAUCAUCAUCAUCACCACCACCACCACCACCACCACCACCACCACCACCACCACUCCAUCACAAUACUGGGAGGUUUUGCUAAACUAACUCAAACUUAAUGCUCACAAGCUGCCCAGACCACACAGUGUGUGUGUGUGUGUGUGUGUGUGACCAGACCGUACUGGAAGGAACAGCCCAGUGGGAAAGGGAACACUUGACAGAAGGAAGAAUGAUGGUGAUUGGUCAGAAUUAUGGUGAUGACACUUGCCUGUACCAGGACACAUACAAAGACACACACAGACCCAAACAGACCCAAACUCCCACCAGGUUGCAGUAAUUAUCCAAUCAAGACAUUGGGGAUAUAAAGGAAUUUCCUGAAAGUUCUUGGGAUUUUGCAACCUUGAGUGGCCUAGGCCUCAACAGAAAGUCCACGACAGCUGCCAAUAAAUGAGAGGCCCUGUGGACUUUACCCCACGUUUAUCUGUGUCCCAAAGUUUAAGCCUGCAGGGUCCAAAGACAUGCCCUGGUGGCAGGGCAUUUCUUGCUUCCAAACCCAAUGACACAGUCAUAUUGAAAAAGCAAGGGACAAACAAAAAUGUACACACUGCCCCCGUUGACUCAAAACCACAUGGCCGUAACUAAAUGCCAGGUAAA
ensembl:lncRNA